CCUACGGGUGGCAGCAGUCGAGAAUCAUUCACAAUGGGGGAAACCCUGAUGGUGCGACGCCGCGUGGGGGAAUGAAGUUCUUCGGAUUGUAAACGCUUGUCAUGUGGGAGCAAAUUAAAAAGAUAGUAUCAUAAGAGGAAGAGACGGCUAACUCUGUGCCAGCAGCCGCGGUAAUACAGAGGGCUCAAGCGUUGUCCGGAAUCACUGGGGGUAAAGCGGGCGUAGGCUGUGUUGUAAGUCGUGGGAGAAAGGCGCGGGCUCAACCCGCGGGCGGCAUAUGAUACUGCGAGACUAGGGUAAUGGAGGAGGAAAGGGGAUUCUCAGUGUAGGAGGGGAAUGCG
rnacentral:rRNA from 1 species